rnacentral:rRNA from 1 species
UACGUAGGGUGCGAGCGUUGUCCGGAAUUACUGGGCGUAAAGAGCUCGUAGGUGGUUUGUCACGUCUGCUGUGAAAACUGGAGGCUCAACCUCCAGCCUGCAGUGGGUACGGGCAGACUAGAGUGCGGUAGGGGAGACUGGAAUUCCUGGUGUAGCGGUGGAAUGCGCGGAUAUCAGGAGGAACACCGAUGGCGAAGGCAGGUCUCUGGGCCGCAACUGACGCUGAGGAGCGAAAGCAUGGGGAGCGAACAGG